GCCGAAGUGGCGGAACGGCAGACGCGCUGCGUUCAGAGCGCAGUACUCGAAAGGGUGUGUGGGUUCAAAUCCCUCCUUCGGCACCA
rnacentral:tRNA from 1 species